UACGAAGGGGGCUAGCGUUGUUCGGAAUCACUGGGCGUAAAGGGCGCGCAGGCGGCCAUUCAAGUCAGAUGUGAAAGCCCCGGGCUCAACCUGGGAGGUGCAUUUGGGACUGGAUGGCUUGAGAUCGGGAGAGGAGAGUGGAAUUCCCAGUGUAGAGGUGAAAUUCGUAGAUAUUGGGAAGAACACCGGUGGCGAAGGCAGCUCGCUGGGACGGUACUGACGCUGAGGCGCGAAAGCGUGGGGAGCAAACAGG
rnacentral:rRNA from 1 species